rnacentral:rRNA from 1 species
AGAGUUUGAUCCUGGCUCAGGAUGAACGCUAGCUACAGGCUUAACACAUGCAAGUCGAGGGGAAACGACAUCGAAAGCUUGCUUUUGAUGGGCGUCGACCGGCGCACGGGUGAGUAACGCGUAUCCAACCUGCCCAUCACUUGGGGAUAACCUUGCGAAAGUAAGACUAAUACCCAAUGAUAUCUCUAGAAGGCAUCUGAAAGAGAUUAAAGAUUUAUCGGUGAUGGAUGGGGAUGCGUCUGAUUAGCUUGUUGGCGGGGUAACGGCCACAAGGCGACGAUCAGUAGGGGUUCUGAGAGGAAGGUCCCCCANAUUGGAACUGAGACACGGUCCAAACUCUACGGGAGCA